UUUAAGUGAAAAGGCUUAAAUGUUCUAGGGGGACGAUAAGACCCUAUAAAGCUUUACAGUGUGCUAAUUAAAUUAUAAAUUGUUAGUAUAAACUUGGUUUGGUUAGUAGCUGUUUCGUUGGGGCGACGAAAAUAUAAUUGAUAGUAACUGUUUUUCUUUUAUAAUAACAAUAAAUUUUUGGUAGAAGUUGAUCCUUUAUUAAAGAUUAAAAGAUUAAGUUACUUUAGGGAUAACAGCGUAAUCUUCUUUGAGAGUUCAUAUCGACAAGAAGGGUUGCGACCUCGAUGUUGAAUUAAGGUUUCCUUGUGGUGUAGCAGUUUCAUGGGAGGGUCUGUUCGACCUUUAAAUCCUUACAUGAUCUGAGUUCAAACC
rnacentral:rRNA from 1 species